rnacentral:rRNA from 1 species
GACAGAGGGUGCAAACGUUGUUCGGAAUUACUGGGCGUAAAGCGCGUGUAGGCGGUUAUGCAAGUCGGGUGUGAAAGCCCGGAGCUCAACUCCGGAAGUGCAUUCGGUACUGCGUAGCUAGAGUACUGGAGAGGAUGGUGGAACUCUCGGUGUAGAGGUGAAAUUCGUAGAUAUCGAGAAGAACACCGGUGGCGAAGGCGGCCAUCUGGACAGAUACUGACGCUGAGACGCGAAAGCGUGGGGAGCAAACAGG